rnacentral:rRNA from 1 species
UACGUAGGGUGCGAGCGUUGUCCGGAAUUAUUGGGCGUAAAGAGCUCGUAGGCGGUGUGUCACGUCGGCCGUGAAAACCUGCAGCUUAACUGUGGGCGUGCGGUCGAUACGGGCAUCACUGGAGUUCGGCAGGGGAGACUGGAAUUCCUGGUGUAGCGGUGAAAUGCGCAGAUAUCAGGAGGAACACCAGCGGCGAAGGCGGCGCUCUGGGCUGGCACUGACACUGAGGAGCGAAAGCGUGGGGAGCGAACAGG